CUACGGGAGGCAGCAGUGGGGAAUAUUGCACAAUGGAGGAAACUCUGAUGCAGCAACGCCGCGUGGAGGAUGACACUUUUCGGAGCGUAAACUCCUUUUAUAUAGGUAGAAGAUGACGGUACUAUAUGAAUAAGCGCCGGCUAACUCCGUGCCAGCAGCCGCGGUAAUACGGAGGGCGCAAGCGUUACUCGGAAUCACUGGGCGUAAAGAGCGUGUAGGCGGAUUAAAAAGUCAGAAGUGAAAUCCUAUAGCUUAACUAUAGAACUGCUUCUGAAACUCUUAAUCUAGAAUAUGGGAGAGGUAGAUGGAAUUUCUGGUGUAGGGGUAAAAUCCGUAGAGAUCAGAAGGGAUACCGAUUGCGAAGGCGAUCUACUAGAACAUUAUUGACGCUGAGACGCGAAAGCGUGGGGAGCAAACAGGAUUAGAUACCCUCGUAGUC
rnacentral:rRNA from 1 species